rnacentral:lncRNA from 13 species
AUGGAGGAGUUUGGCUCUCAUAACACCCUGCAAGCAGCUAUUUCCUCCCAGGACCCUGCAUUUGACAGAGUCCUGGUAAAGUCCUUGACCCAGCAGCUGGUACAAGGAUGCAAGGAGGCGUCAAGACCAGCUUCUGCUGCAACAAACCCAUCAGACCAGGCUGAGACAGAGAGGGGGGCUGAGCAGAAAGCAAGAAGGAGCUUCCUUUGCUUUUCAAUGACCAAACUCAGGAUCAACUUCAAGCGUUCCAAGAGAGGAAACAAAAAGGACUGCCAUUCAGUCCAGGAACAGACUGAGAUUCCCUCUACUGGUGCACAUUGCAUAGUUCCCGUUGGAGAGGUUUCUCCCUCCAUAUCUCAGCCUGUCAAAAAACGAUCCUUGAUUGUCAGGGUCUUUUCAGCAAUGAUGAAGCCAUUCAGGCGCUUCAUCAAGAAGAACCUGUAACCUGUUACGCUGCAUGAAGAACUACUUUUGUAACAGCAAGACUUUUGACAAGAGGAAUUUCUGCAUGUCUACCCUUUCAAAGUCUAUUUGGUCAAAUAAAUGCAAAUUAUUUUACAAGAAUUUCAAGUGUUUUGGAAGAUUGGUAAUACUGAAGCAGAUUUUCUCAGAGAAAUGCACUAGUUCCUCCUUGGUUACAUAUUUAUUGUGCAGUUUUUUGAGUUGGCAGGACUUGGGGCAGCAGGUAGCCUUGUGGUUAGAGCGUUGGGCCAGUAACUGAAAGGUUGCUAGGUCAGAUCCCUGAGCUAACCAUGUAAAAAUAUGACGUUCUGCUCCUGAAC